AGCAGCCGCGGUAAUUCCAGCUCCAAUAGCGUAUAUUAAAGUUGUUGCAGUUAAAAGCUCGUAGUUGAAUUUUAGGCCUGGCCGGGCGGUCCGUCUUUGGCGAGUACUGUCCUGUGUCGGGUCUUCCUUCUGGUGAACCAGUAUGUCCUUUAUUGGGUGUGCCGGGGAGCCAGGACCAUUACCUUGAAAAAUUAGAGUGUUUAAAGCGGGCUUUUGCUUGAAUAGAUUAGCAUGGAAUAAUAGAAUAGGACGUUGUGGUUCUAUUUUGUUGGUUUCUAGGACCACCGUAAUGAUUAAUAGGGACAGUUGGGGGCAUUAGUAUUCAAUUGUCAGAGGUGAAAUUCUUGGAUUUAUUGAAGACUAACUAUUGCGAAAGCAUUUGCCAAGGAUGUUUUCAUUAAUCAAGAACGAAAGUUAGGGGAUCGAAGACGAUCAGAUACCGUCGUAGUCUUAACCAUAAACUAUGCCGACUAGGAAUCGGGCGACGUUAUUUUCAUGACUCGCUCGGCGCCUUAUGGGA
rnacentral:rRNA from 1 species